CUGUAAGCCGUUGAAGGUGGCCUGUGAGGGUUGCUGGAGGUAUCAGAAGUGCGAAUGCUGACAUAAGUAACGAUAAUGCGGGUGAAAAACCCGCACGCCGGAAGACCAAGGGUUCCUGUCCAACGUUAAUCGGGGCAGGGUGAGUCGACCCCUAAGGCGAGGCCGAAAGGCGUAGUCGAUGGGAAACAGGUUAAUAUUCCUGUACUCGGUGUUACUGCGAAGGGGGGACGGAGAAGGCUAUGUUGGCCGGGCGACGGUUGUCCCGGUUUAAGCAUGUAGGCGGAUGUUCCAGGUAAAUCCGGAACGUCACUAACGCUGAGGUGUGAUGACGAGGCACUACGGUGCUGAAGUGACAAAUGCCCUGCUUCCAGGAAAAGCCUCUAAGCAUCAGGUAACAUCAAAUCGUACCCCAAACCGACACAGGUGGUCAGGUAGAGAAUACCAAGGCGCUUGAGAGAACUCGGGUGAAGGAACUAGGCAAAAUGGUGCCGUAACUUCGGGAGAAG
rnacentral:rRNA from 1 species